GGCUAAGUGAGGUCUCUGUGGGUUGAGUUGGGACUGGGCCUGGUUCUCCAGGACUGUACACUUGCAAGACCCCGGAGUUCAUCGGGCAGAUCCUCACUGUUACAGACGAGUACACCGAGGCCCCAAGAGGGGGAGGUGGCUCGCCAAGUUGCAGACAGAGUGAGACUCCCGCCCUGCCGUGGAUCCCGUCGCAAUGAGACGUUGCUGCCCCUGGCGCUGUGCCCCUCUCUCAGCUCCUGCCUGGCUUCCUACUCCCUGCCCUGCGUCCCGCGGCUCCCCCAUAUUCUAGCUCGGCCAUCGACAAGCGGUCAGGGGAGAAGGUGGCCAUCAAGAAGCUGAGCCGACCCUUUCAGUCCGAGAUCUUCGCCAAGCGCGCCUACCGGGAGCUGCUGCUGCUGAAGCACAUGCAGCAUGAGAACGUCAUUGGGCUCCUGGAUGUCUUCACCCCAGCCUCCUCCCUGCGCAACUUCCAUGACUUCUACCUGGUGAUGCCCUUCAUGCAGACGGAUCUGCAGAAGAUCAUGGGGAUGGAGUUCAGUGAGGAGAAGAUCCAGUACCUGGUGUAUCAGAUGCUCAAAGGCCUUAAGUACAUCCACUCGGCUGGGGUCGUGCACAGGGACCUGAAGCCAGGCAACCUGGCUGUGAAUGA
rnacentral:sRNA from 1 species